GCACUUAAAUACAGGGAGUGAAACGGGAAGUCGGUGCUGCCCAGCAAGUCAUGCUGUGACAAAUUCCGACGCUGCCCCCGCAACGGUAAGCAGGAAGACGUUGACUGUUAAUCCACUGUUCCUAGAACGGGAAGGAAGUCAACGACCGUGACUCUGUCACGUCCCUGCAAGCCCGGAGACCGGCCUGAAGCUUC
rnacentral:ncRNA from 1 species